GUCUAUUUCUCCUGCCUCUACUGUUUGAGUGCUGACCACAGGCAUGUACCUGGCUAGUUCAUAAUAUUUAUUGAAUUGACAGGAAGGAUUCUAUGCUAGGAAUAGUUUGUCAUUAGCAAUUUGAAGUGGGCCACUAACCAACUGCUGUAUUUAGUACCUCUUUUUUUUUUUCUUUUUUGUAGGAAAUAUAUCAACUUGGACAGCCAUCCCCAGGGGCCUGCUGUUGAAAUAUUUCCUGAGUGCUGAAGGGUCUCAUAUAGCCAACCCCAGCUUGCUUCCAUCUCCUUGUAUAGCUGAAGUGACCUGAACUUCUGGUCCAUCUGCCUCUACCUCCCUGGACUGGGAUUACAGGCACAGUCACAUCCCUGGCCAAGACUGAAGACUGAAGUCACCGACAGAAGAACCGCCGAGGCCAGUGCUAAAUGAGCCUUCAAAGCAACAGGAUCUCAGUCCUCCCCCUUUAGAGGGAUGGGUGCCCUCCCACCUGCUACAAUACAAGAAAGAGUCAGAGUGCCAGAGUGUGUGUGGUGCCUGGUGAGAAGAUACGCACAAAAACUGAGGACCAUCUUCAAGGAUGUCAGAAAUAUCUCCUUCCUGCCCAAGGGCUCAUUGGGACCCUGACAGGGCAGGAGGAGGACACAGGAUGGAAACAGCAAAGAAUGGGUCCGAUGAGGACAGAAAGGCUGUUACCUUCAGGAUUCUGCUGGACCCCUGCUUCAGACUCUAGAGUUGGCAAAGUCAGACACGCCCUAGUUUUGCCCCGCAGACGUCUGGUCGGUUCCUCAUACUAGGAGAGAGGGGGCGCUCUGCUCCUAGACUUUCGUGCUUCCGCGGAACUGCAGUUCUGGCUAAGGUCCACAGCGUAGGGCUGGCUUGGGAAGUUCGCUAUGGGUGUUGGUGGAACAACUCCCCUCCCCAUGUCCGAGGUCUCUUUAGGCAGGGUCGUCCCGAUUCCGAGGGAAACAAUGCUUAAACUUCUACCUC
rnacentral:lncRNA from 1 species